rnacentral:rRNA from 1 species
GACUACUAGGGUAUCUAAUCCCGUUUGCUCCCCACGCUUUCGUACAUGAGCGUCAGGUCAAUGCCAGGGCAUCGCUUUCGCCUCUGGUGUUCCUCCCGAUAUCUACGCAUUCCACCACUACACCGGGAAUUCCAUGCCCCUCUCAUUGCCUCAAGCUUGUCAGUUUCCAACGACCUCUCCCAGUUAAGCCGGGAGAUUUCACGUCAGACUAAACAAGCCGCCUGCGUACGCUUUACGCCCAGUAAUUCCGGAUAACGCUCGCCACCUACGUAUUACCGCGGCUGCUGGCACGUAGUUAGCCGUGACUUAUUCCUGUGGUACCGUCCUCUCUCGUCCCACAGAAAAGGAGUUUACAACCCAAGGGCUGUCAUCCUCCACGCGGCGUUGCUGCAUCAGGGUUUCCCCCAUUGUGCAAUAUUCCUCACUGCAGCCUCCCGUAGG